rnacentral:ncRNA from 2 species
AUCUUAUUAAGAACUACUGAGAGAAAAAACUCAUUGAAGUAGUAGCAACCUAUUUAGUUAGGUGCUUAAAUUAGGGGGAAACCAUCAAUAAGAC